GUUAUAUGGUCAAGUGAAGAAGCGCAUACGGUGAAUGCCUUGGCGACAGGAGGCGAUGAAGGACGUGGCAGCCUGCGAUAAGCUUCGGGGAGCCGGCAAACAGGCUUUGAUCCGGGGAUGUCCGAAUGGGGAAACCCACCGCGCAAGCGGUAUCCUGACCUGAAUCCAUAGGGCC
rnacentral:rRNA from 1 species